GUAUGGACGGGAUAAGUGCUGAAAUCAUCUAAGCAUGAAGCCCCCCUGAAGAUGUGAUUUCCCAACUUCUGUUAUACGAUGCCUCGAAGAUUACGAGGUUAAUAGGUUCGAGGUGGAAGCGUGGUGACACGUGGAGCUGACGAAUACUAAUCGAUCGAAGACUUAAUCAAUUUUUAAA
rnacentral:rRNA from 1 species